rnacentral:lncRNA from 1 species
UUGUUCCUCUACCUUGUUUCUCUACCAAUAUAGUACUCAAAAUACCCCUGUUAAUGUUCAAAAGAAUACAAGAUAAAAAUCUGACAAUAUUCAAACCAACAAAGGUUUCUGAACUUUAAAGCCAAUUAUCUCAGAAUCAUCUUUUUGCAGAUAGUACCUUAAAAUCCAAAGCUCUCGAUGGCUAAUAAGACAUAUGUAUUAACAUAUGUAAACGCACAUUUAAACUAUACAUUAGUGGUAGUACUUUAUUAUUGUUUAAUAUAAAAUCUUACCUCAAACUAACCGCUCUAUAUUCUGCCCGGUGGUGGUGGAGGGAUGCGUUCAAGCCCUCCAGGACACUCGCCUUCCAAGAUUUCUCCCUGAAAGAGUCCCAGGAUCCACUGUCAAGGACACUCUGCUAAAGCUGGACUUGGACUGCAACUGAGUGUCCCAAGCCACUUGCAUAAGAGAGACCGGUGUCCAGCAGUGCUCCCGCUUGACUGUGGCUUUCCACUUCAGUUUCAAUGAAGGCUAGAAAAUGACUUGUACAAUUGACUUGAACAAUAUUUUCUGUACAUUUUUUUCCAAACUAUUGAUUUUCCUGACUUGACUGUAAUUUAAUUAGAAUUGUCCUUAGCCUUGGCGGUCCUCAUGCAUAUCAGUUAUUUAGCUACAGAUUGACACCUCCGCCUAUCUGGGGUACUGUAUCCCUUAUGCAUACAGUUUCAUUGUGACAUCUCAAUGUCCCUUUGCACUCAGUUGACUACUCUGUCCAAAGAAAGUUUUGUAAUUCAUAUUUGGACUAAUAUGUAGAUACAUUGUGUGUGUAUCUAUCAUUCCACAUUUGAUAGUGCAAAACAAUGUACCAGCCUUACAACUGAACCAGCCAUACACAGAGACAUGGGUUGUACAUUCUGCUCCUAGUUACAUGCAUCUCUGCUCUUAUCUGGUGUUUGGGGAUCAACUGAAGUUGAGGUGUGUUUUAAUAUAAAAUGACAACAAGGGGGUAGAAUGUGGCUCUGACGUUGAAGUAGAGUAUUCACUUAACACUGUAAUCGAGUCAUUUUUUGUACUGGUCUG